AUACAUGCAGUCGAGCGAAUGGAUUAAGAGCUUGCUCUUAUGAAGUUAGCGGCGGACGGGUGAGUAACACGUGGGUAACCUGCCCAUAAGACUGGGAUAACUCCGGGAAACCGGGGCUAAUACCGGAUAACAUUUUGAACUGCAUGGUUCGAAAUUGAAAGGCGGCUUCGGCUGUCACUUAUGGAUGGACCCGCGUCGCAUUAGCUAGUUGGUGAGGUAACGGCUCACCAAGGCAACGAUGCGUAGCCGACCUGAGAGGGUGAUCGGCCACACUGGGACUGAGACACGGCCCAGACUCCUACGGGAGGCAGCAGUAGGGAAUCUUCCGCAAUGGACGAAAGUCUGACGGAGCAACGCCGCGUGAGUGAUGAAGGCUUUCGGGUCGUAAAACUCUGUUGUUAGGGAAGAACAAGUGCUAGUUGAAUAAGCUGGCACCUUGACGGUACCUAACCAGAAAGCCACGGCUAACUACGUGCCAGCAGCCGCGGUAAUACGUAGGUGGCAAGCGUUAUCCGGAAUUAUUGGGCGUAAAGCGCGCGCAGGUGGUUUCUUAAGUCUGAUGUGAAAGCCCACGGCUCAACCGUGGAGGGUCAUUGGAAACUGGGAGACUUGAGUGCAGAAGAGGAAAGU
rnacentral:rRNA from 1 species